AAAGGUGCACUCUACUGCCAUUCUUCUUUGGAUCUAUGAUGCUUUACAGACUGAGGAAAUUGAGAACUCCCUCCCACAAAUGUCAACUUUUGAUCCAUUUCAGACAUAAAACUUUCCAGAAUACAGAUUAGUGGGGAAAAGCUUGCUAAAAGAAAGAGAGAUUUGUCAGCAGGCAGCCAGGCCAGCUGGGAAUGGGAGCCCUUCCCCUGGUAGGCAGUGGCUCACUUUCGAACUGCAUGGGAAGCUAGAAAGUCAUGGACAAUGCCAUGAGGGACAGAAGAGUAGUGGUCAGUACACCAGGUUUAAGUAGAAAAAGUUCUCAUAUUUCAGGUGACAGAAAGGAUAUCCUGCUCCCCUCUGAAAAGGGGAAGACCAGCCUACAAGCCAGCCUUGAGUUGGAACACAUCUGGCCAGCCUAAGGUGAUGAUCUACAGUAGUGCUUCCCACACCAUAAUGGGAGUAUAUUAAUCACCCACCGCUUACAGCUACUGUUACCUCCAAGAGGGCUUUGAAAUUCUUUGCAAGAGGUGCUUGGUUUCAUUUUCUCUUUUAUUUCCCUGCUGAGCUCUCAAAACAGGCUCUCUGCUGUGUCUGUGCAUUGAAUGCUGCUUCCAGGCCAGAGAGACUCCAGACUGGUAAAGUGGAAGACCGGGCAAUUUGUGUCAUAGAUGCUGAUUGAUCGCCUGUCCCUUUGGGCGUCUUUGUAAUGGCCUCCCAAAAGAAAGACCUACUGUAUUGGGUGGAAAACUGGAGGAGCCAUUGUGUAUUCAGCAGUGUGCAGCAUUUGUGACUAUGGACAACAACACAGACGCUCUUAGAUAGAAAAGCAUUGAGGGCAGAGUUAGGCCGUCCUGUUCUAUAAUCUCCCCCAAAAAGGGGGCUUUGAUUUUCACAUACGGGGCUAGUGGGAACAAGGAAGAGAGAUUCCUGUCUUGUGCUUGCUGAGGCUUUUUGUUUUUAAGUUAAAUUUCCUGUGUCUUCAAAGUGAGUAGAAAAUUCUGACUUCCUUAAAUAGCCUGCGUGUAUUGGGAGGAGGGCAAGGAGCUGGAAUGGCUGGGCUUUGUGCCAGGGAUUCAGUUCUGCUCUCAAGAUUAGUGCAGAAAUGGUUUGUUUUGCUUGAUAACUUGUCAAAGGCAGUGACUGAGCAUUGUCUGACUGCAUGUACCUGAAUCUCAAUUCUCAUACC
rnacentral:lncRNA from 1 species